UCCGGUUUGUCACCGGCAGUCUCCUUAGAGUUCCCGCCAUUACGCGCUGGCAACUAAGGACAAGGGUUGCGCUCGUUACGGGACUUAACCCAACAUCUCACGACACGAGCUGACGACAGCCAUGCAGCACCUGUCUCCUGGUUCCCGAAGGCACACCUCUAUCUCUGAAGGAUUCCGUGGAUGUCAAGGCCAGGUAAGGUUCUUCGCGUUGCAUCGAAUUAAACCACAUGCUCCACCGCUUGUGCGGGCCCCCGUCAAUUCCUUUGAGUUUCAACCUUGCGGUCGUACUCCCCAGGCGGGGCACUUAAUGCGUUAGCGCCGGCACUCGGGGGGUCGCUCCCCCAAGCACCUAGUGCCCAUCGUUUACGGCGUGGACUAC
rnacentral:misc_RNA from 1 species